rnacentral:rRNA from 1 species
UACGUAGGGGGCAAGCGUUGUCCGGAAUCAUUGGGCGUAAAGAGCGCGUAGGCGGCCCAGUAAGUCCGCUCUGAAAGUCAGGGGCUCAACCCCUGAAUGCGGGUGGAUACUGCUGGGCUAGAGUCCGGAAGAGGCGAGUGGAAUUCCUGGUGUAGCGGUGAAAUGCGCAGAUAUCGGGAAGAACACCCGUGGCGAAGGCGGCUCUCUGGGACGGUACUAACGCUGAGACGCGAAAGCGUGGGGAGCGAACAGG